AACGAACGUUAGCGGCGCGCCUAACACAUGCAAGUCGCACGAGAAAGGGCUUCGGCCCCGGUAAAGUGGCGCACGGGUGAGUAACACGUGGGUAAUCUGCCCUCGAGCUGGGGAUAACAUUCCGAAAGGAGUGCUAAUGCCGAAUAAGACCACGACCUCGAAAGAGGAUGCGGUCAAAGCUGGCCUCUAUACAUAAGCUAGCACUUGAGGAUGAGCCCGCGGAGCAUCAGCUAGUUGGUGAGGUAAUGGCUCACCAAGGCUUAGACGCUUAGCUGGUCUGAGAGGAUGAUCAGCCACACUGGAACUGAGACACGGUCCAGACACCUACGGGUGCUG
rnacentral:rRNA from 1 species